rnacentral:misc_RNA from 1 species
GGUUUGCUUACAGCUCUACUUAAUAGUAUGAAUGCUAAGAACAAUUUUUCCCAUGCCUAAAGUUCAAGGGACAGCAAUAAAAAAUUAUGAGGAUGUGGCACUUGUUUUCUCUUUCAAAGACACAGAUCUAGAAAAAAUGGUCUCCACACUGAACAGCAUGAACGAGAUCAACAUGUCAAAGUGCUUCCUCAAACUAACACAUCCUAUGAAACUAAAGGAAGCAAGAGGGAUGCAAAUUUAAUAUAUUAUUACGAGUUAAACAGGAUGAACAGGAUCAACAUGUCAAAGUGCUUGCUUAAAUUAACACAUCAU